GACGAACGCUGGCGGCGUGCCUAAUACAUGCAAGUCGAGCGGAUCUUCAUUAGCUUGCUUUUGAAGAUCAGCGGCGGACGGGUGAGUAACACGUGGGCAACCUGCCUGUAAGACUGGGAUAACUUCGGGAAACCGGAGCUAAUACCGGAUAAUCCUUUUCCUCUCAUGAGGAAAAGCUGAAAAACGGUUUCGGCUGUCACUUACAGAUGGGCCCGCGGCGCAUUAGCUAGUUGGUGAGGUAACGGCUCACCAAGGCGACGAUGCGUAGCCGACCAGAGAGGUUGUUCGGCCACGCUGGGACUGAGACACGGCCCAGACUCCUACGGGAGGCAGCAGUAGGGAAUCUUCCGCAAUGGACGAAAGUCUGACGGAGCAACGCCGCGUGAGCGAUGAAGGCCUUCGGGUCGUAAAGCUCUGUUGUCAGGGAAGAACAAGUACCGGAGUACUGCCGGUACCUUGACGGUACCUGACCAGAAAGCCACGGCUAACUACGUGCCAGCAGCCGCCGUAAAAC
rnacentral:rRNA from 1 species